ACAUAGCCACUAGCCAAACAAGUAUUAGAGGUAACACCUGCCCAGUGAGGAGCCCCUUUAACGGCCGCGAGAACCAACCGCGCAAAGGUAGCACAAUCACUUGUCCCCCAAAUAGGGACCCGUAUGAAAGGUUGCAUGAGAAAGAAACUGUCUCCUCAGGCUGGUCGAUGAAACUGAUCUAUCAGUACAAAAGCUGAUAUAAAAAAAUAGGACAAAAAGACCCUGUGAAACUUUAAACCCCUAAUCAACCCCCCCUUGAUAAAGGUUUUUAGUUGGGGCAACUAAAGAGAAACAAAACCUCCACCAAACUGCCAAGUCCAACUAGACAAAGCACACCUAUAACCAAAAUCAAUCGACCCAGUACAACUGAUCAAAGAACCAAGCUACUCCAGGGAUAACAGCGCCACACUCUUAAAGAGUCCAUAUCAACAAGAGUACCUACGACCCGGAUGUUGGAUCAGGGCCACCCGACGGUGAAAAAGCUGUCAAGGGUUCGUUUGUUCAACGAUUAAUGCCCUACGUGAUCU
rnacentral:rRNA from 1 species